rnacentral:rRNA from 1 species
AAGUGGGGAUGACGUCAAAUCAGCACGGCCCUUAUGUCCAGGGCUACACACGUGUUACAAUGGUCGGUACAGAGGGCAGCUACCUGGUGACAGGAUGCUAAUCUCGAAAACCGGUCUCAGUUCGGAUCGAAGUCCGCAACUCGACUUCGUGAAGCUGGAUUCGCUAGUAAUCGCGCAUCAGCUAUGGCCGCGGUCGAAUACGUUCCCGGGCCUU